UUAAGGAAAAAAGGGCGCACAGUGGAUGCCUAGGCACUAGAAGGCGAAGAAGGACGCAACUAACGGCGAAACGCUACGGGUAGCAGUAAGUAAGCAAUGAUCCGUAGAUAUCCGAAUGAGGCAACUCACCAUGAAGAAGACAUGGUAUACCGAAAGGUAGGCAAGACCCAGCGAAUUGAAAUAUCUUAGUAGCUGGAGGAAAAGAAAGCAAAAGCGAUUUUCUCAGUAGCGACGAGCGAAAGGGAAGGAACCCAAAUUCACGGCAUAUGAAAUUUUUGAUAAAUGAACCACUCUGGGAAGGUGGACCGAAGAAGGUGAAAGUCCUGUAAUUGAAAUCAAGAAUGGAAUUAGUGAGAAAGAGUACGGCGAGACACGAGAAAUCUUGUCGGAAGAAGCGAGGACCAUCUCGUAAGGUUAAAUACUAGCUAGUGACCGAUAGCGAACCAGUACCGUGAGGGAAAGGUGAAAAGAACCCCGGGAGGGGAGUGAAAGAGAACCUGAAACUGUGUGCUUACAAGUAGUCAGAGGACGUUAAAGUCUGAUGGCGUGCCUUUUGUAGAAUGAACCGGCGAGUUACGGUAUUUAGCAAGGUUAAGUCUAAAGGGACGGAGCCGAAGCGAAAGCGAGUCUUAAUAGGGCGGUAAGUUGAAUGCUGUAGACCCGAAACCCGGCGAGCUAGCCAUGAGCAGGUUGAAGUUUGAGUAAAAUCAAAUGGAGGACCGAACUAGGGCCUGUUGAAAAAGGCUUGGAUGACUUGUGGCUAGGGGUGAAAUUCCAAUCGAGCUGGGAUAUAGCUGGUUCUCCCCGAAAUAACUUUAGGGCUAGCGUUAAACAAGAGUUUUAUGAAGGUAGAGCACUGAAUAGUAGAUGGUCCCACCUCGGGAUACUGACAUUAAUCAAACUCCGAAUGUCAUAAAACGCGUUUAGCAGUCAGACUGCGAGUGAUAAGGUCCGUGGUCAAAAGGAAAAGAGUCCAGACCGCCAAAUAAGGUCCCAAAAUAUAUGCUAAGUGGAGAAGGAUGUAGAGAUGCCUAAACAACUAGGAUGUUGGCUUAGAAGCAGCCAUCAUUUAAAGAGUGCGUAAUAGCUCACUAGUCGAGUGACUCCGCGCCGAAAAUGUACCGGGGCUAAGCAUAUUACCGAAUUUGCGGAUUCGAUACGAAAGUAUUGAGUGGUAGGGGAGCGUUCCAUAAUGGGAAGAAGCAAGAUCGAGAGGACUUGUGGACUAUAUGGAAGUGAGAAUGCCGGUGUGAGUAACGAAAAGACAGGUGAGAAUCCUGUCCGUCAAAAACCCAAGGUUUCCAGGGGAAGGGUCGUCCGCCCUGGGUAAGUCUGGGCCUAAGGUGAGGCCGAGAGGCGUAGCUGAUGGAUAUCUGGUGUAUAUUCCAGAACUAGUAUAAUGACUGAUGGAGUGACGAAGAAGGCUAGGAUCCGAUUCUUAGUGGAUUGAAUACGAGAUAUCAAGAGGGGAUGUAGGCAAAUCCGCAUCUAGAAAUCAAGAUAUGACAGGUAAAGGAUAACGAAGUCAAGCUUCCAAGAAAAGCUUCUAGGGUUAAUCAUUAUACUACCAGUACCGUAAACCGACACAGGUGGGUAGGAAGAGAAUUCUAAGACGCGCGAGAAAACCCUUGUUAAGGAACUCUGCAAGUUGGCCCCGUAAGUUCGCAAUAAGGGGAGCUCAUGUAAAAGUGAGCCACAGAAAAGAAGCCCAAGCAACUGUUUAACAAAAACACAGGUUUAUGCAAAACCGUAAGGUGAAGUAUAUGAGCUGACACCUGCCCGGUGCUGGAAGGUUAAAAGGAGAGGUUAGAGCAAUCGAAGCCUUGAAUUGAAGCCCCAGUAAACGGCGGCCGUAACUAUAACGGUCCUAAGGUAGCGAAAUUCCUUGUCAGGUAAGUUCUGACCCGCACGAAAGGUGUAAUGUCUUUGGGCACUGUCUCAACAGGGGACUCGGUGAAAUCAAACUGCCGGUGAAAAUGCCGGCUACCCGCGAUUAGACGGAAAGACCCCAUGGAGCUUUACUGUAGGUUGAUAUUGAUAUUUGGUAUGUAAUGUACAGGAUAGGUGGGAGACUAUGAAGCUAGGACGUUAGUCUUGGUGGAGUCGACGUUGGGAUACCACCCUUUGCCUAUCGAGUAUCUAACUAGUGUAAGUGGAUUACAAAGGACAGUGUCAGUUGGGCAGUUUGACUGGGGCGGUCGCCUCCUAAAGAGUAACG
rnacentral:rRNA from 1 species